UACGUAGGGUGCAAGCGUUAAUCGGAAUUACUGGGCGUAAAGCGUGCGCAGGUGGUUGUGCAAGACAGAUGUGAAAUCCCCGGGCUUAACCUGGGAAUUGCAUUUGUGACUGCACGACUGGAAUGUGGCAGAGGGGGAUGGAAUUCCGCGUGUAGCAGUGAAAUGCGUAGAUAUGCGGAGGAACACCGAUGGCGAAGGCAAUCCCCUGGGCCUGCAUUGACACUCAUGCACGAAAGCGUGGGGAGCAAACAGG
rnacentral:rRNA from 1 species